rnacentral:rRNA from 1 species
UAGCGUUGUUCGGAAUUACUGGGCGUAAAGCGCACGUAGGCGGCUUUGUAAGUUAGAGGUGAAAGCCUGGAGCUCAACUCCAGAACUGCCUUUAAGACUGCAUCGCUUGAAUCCAGGAGAGGUGAGUGGAAUUCCGAGUGUAGAGGUGAAAUUCGUAGAUAUUCGGAAGAACACCAGUGGCGAAGGCGGCUCACUGGACUGGUAUUGACGCUGAGGUGCGAAAGCGUGGGGAGCAAACGGGAUUAGAUACCCUGGUAGUCCACGCCGUAAACGAUGAUAACUAGCUGUCCGGGGACUUGGUCUUUGGGUGGCGCAGCUAACGCAUUAAGUUAUCCGCCUGGGGAGUACGGCCGCAAGGUUAAAACUCAAAUGAAUUGACGGGGGCCUGCACAAGCGGUGGAGCAUGUGGUUUAAUUCGAAGC